GGGAGUAGCCAUAUCACUCUGCAACUCACAACUGGCAACCCACUGAAGCUAAGCAGGUGUGAGGCUGGCCAGUACCUGGAUGGGAGACCUCCUGGGAAAAACUAGGUUGCUGCUGGAA
ensembl:rRNA 5S_rRNA 5S ribosomal RNA